ACGUGAGCUAAUUCGUCUGGUUAAUUCCGAUAACGCACGAGACCUUAGCCGAUAGUUAAAUGGACUUCAUGAAAGGACCUCGCUCCUGUCAACAGGAGAUACUAUCGGGACCGCUCGCGAUUCUAAUAGGCGAAGCGGGAGGAAGGCUAAGGCUAUAACA
rnacentral:rRNA from 1 species